UACGUAGGGGGCAAGCGUUGUCCGGAAUCAUUGGGCGUAAAGAGCGUGUAGGCGGUCCGGUCAGUCGGUUGUGAAAGUCAAGGGCUCAACCCUUGAAUGCCGGCCGAUACUGCCGGGCUAGAGUCCGGAAGAGGUGAGUGGAAUUCCUGGUGUAGCGGUGAAAUGCGUAGAUAUCGGAAGGAACAUCAGUGGCGAAAGCGACUUCCUGGACCAAUACUGACGCUCAUGUGCGAAGGCGUGGGGAGCAAACAGG
rnacentral:rRNA from 1 species